rnacentral:misc_RNA from 1 species
AACUGAUACUACCUGCGGGAACCUGCGGAGGGAUCAUUACAGAGUUUUUAACUCCCAAACCCAUGUGAACUUACCAUUGUUGCCUCGGCGGAGCCUACCCUGUAGCUACCCUGUAGGGUGGUUACCCUGUAGUGCCCCGCCGGUGGAUUUUCAAACUCUUGUUAUUUUUAGUAAUCUGAGAGUCUUAUUUUAAAUAAGUCAAAACUUUCAACAACGGAUCUCUAGAUCGGAAGAGCACAC